UUCAGUAAGCUGCAUGCCCAAUGUAGGGCUCGAACUCAGGACCCUGAGAUCAACAGUCACAUGCUCCAACAACAGAGUCAGCCAGGUGCUUCAUGUAAGUGCUCUUCUUCGAAUGUACUGAAAUAAGGCCCAUUGCUGCUUCGAGAAAGACAGGGUUGCAACAAGCUGAAACUUACUGCUACUUUACAUGAUAUUCUGCCUACUUUCUAUGAAAUGAGACUGAGAUUGGGGAAGAUUAAGCUCAUAUGGGAGCAGCAUAGCAAAAGAAAGGUAGGUGAAAUGUGACCAUAAUCAAUGGAAUUCCAUUUUACCUUCUUUUCUAUGAUUAUUGGGAUGGAAAAAUUUGAAGCUUAGUAUAAUAUAUUCCCUCUAAUUUCAUCUGCCUGUACAGAAAUUUCA